UACGGAGGGGACUAGCGUUGUUCGGAAUUACUGGGCGUAAAGCGCACGUAGGCGGAUUUGUUAGUCAGGGGUGAAAUCCCGAGGCUCAACCUCGGAACUGCCUUUGAUACUGCAAAUCUCGAGUCCGGAAGAGGUGAGUGGAAUUCCUAGUGUAGAGGUGAAAUUCGUAGAUAUUAGGAAGAACACCAGUGGCGAAGGCGGCUCACUGGUCCGGUACUGACGCUGAGGCGCGAAAGCUAGGGUAGCAAACAGG
rnacentral:rRNA from 1 species